rnacentral:rRNA from 1 species
CGGGCGGACGGGUGAGUAACGCGUGGAUAACCUGCCGUAUACUGGGGGAUAACACUUAGAAAUAGGUGCUAAUACCGCAUAAGCGCACAGUCUCGCAUGAGACGGUGUGAAAAACUCCGGUGGUAUACGAUGGAUCCGCGUCUGAUUAGCUUGUUGGCGGGGUAACAGCCCACCAAGGCGACGAUCAGUAGCCGGCCUGAGAGGGUGAACGGCCACAUUGGGACUGAGACACGGCCCAAACUCCUACGGAAGGCAGCAG